CAUGGUGACCGUAUUAAAAGUGCCUCAUAGCACUGUUAGAGGAUGGACUUAUGGCGCAUUAGCUGGUUGGCGGGGUAACGGCCCACCAAGGCGACGAUGAGUAGCUGACAUGAGAGGGUGACCGACCACACUGGGAAUGAGACACGGCCCAGACUCCUACGGGAGGCAGCAGUAGGUAAUUUUCGACAAUGGGGGAAACCAUGACCGAGCAACGCCGCGUGAAGGAAGAAGGUUUUCGGAUUGUAAACUUCUGUUAUAAAGGAAGAACGGCGGCUACAGGAAAUGGUAGCCGAGUGAUGGUACUUUAUGAGAAACCCACGACUAACUACGCACCAGCAGCCGUGGUAAUAAGUAGGCGGCAAGCGUUAUCAGGAAUUAUUGGGAGUAAAGAGGGAGCAGGCGGCAGCAAUGGUAUGUGGUGAAAGCGUGAAGAUUAACUUCAGUAAGCCAUAGAAACCAGGCAGCUAGAGUGCAGGAGAGGAUCGUGGAAUUCCAUGUGUAGCGGUGAAAUGCGUAGAUAUAUGGAGGAACACCAGUGGCGAAGGGGACGAUCUGGCCUGCAACUGACGCUCAGUCCCGAAAGCGUGGGGAGCAAAUAGGAUUAGAUACCCUAGUAGUCCACGCCGUAAACGAUGAGUACUAAGUGUUGGAUGUCAAAGUUCAGUGCUGCAGUUAACGCAAUAAGUACUCCGCCUGAGUAGUACGUUCGCAAGAAUGAAACUCAAAGGAAUUGACGGGGGCCCGCACAAGCGGUGGAGCAUGUGGUUUAAUUCGAAGCAACGCGAAGAACCUUACCAGGUCUUGACAUACUCAUAAAGGCUCCAGAGAUGGAGAGAUAGCUAUAUGAGAUACAGGUGGUGCAUGGUUGUCGUCAGCUCGUGUCGUGAGAUGUUGGGUUAAGUCCCGCAACGAGCGCAACCCUUAUCGUUAGUUACCAUCAUUAAGUUGGGGACUCUAGCGAGACUGCCAGUGACAAGCUGGAGGAAGGCGGGGAUGACGUCAAAUCAUCAUGCCCCUUAUGACCUGGGCUACACACGUGCUACAAUGGAUGGUGCAGAGGGAAGCGAAGCCGCGAGGUGAAGCAAAACCCAUAAAACCAUUCUCAGUUCGGAUUGUAGUCUGCAACUCGAGUACAUGAAGUUGGAAUCGCUAGUAAUCGCGAAUCAGCAUGUCGCGGUGAAUCCGUUUUCGGCCCCUGCUCACA
rnacentral:rRNA from 1 species